rnacentral:rRNA from 1 species
UACAGAGGGUGCGAGCGUUGUUCGGAAUUACUGGGCGUAAAGCGCGCGCAGGCGGCUCUUUAAGUCUGACGGCGAAAUGCCGGGGCUCAACCCCGUGCCCGCCGCGGAUACUGGAGGGCUGGAGACACGUAGAGGCAAGCGGAAUUCCGGGUGUAGCGGUGGAAUGCGCAGAUAUCAGGAAGAACACCCGUGGCGAAAGCGGCUCUCUGGAACGGUACUGACGCUGAGACGCGAAAGCGUGGGGAGCGAACAGG